GUAUUUGUUCUGAUUCAUCUAAACACCGAGGUGGCAGAAAAGCCUCUUCCUGUGGCCCCCACCACCUCCAGUCCACAGUGAAUUCUACCAGACCACCACCAACGUUCACAUAAAGCCCGCGGACUCUUCCAUCAGAUUUUGGUGAAUGCUGCCAAACCUGGGACUGACCCUUCAGGGCAUUGGGCUGCUCUUUGGCCCAGGGAAGGUCUGGAAAUUUACCUAAGAGACCGGGCCUGGACUCAGGGACCCCAAAAGCCUGCUAAUUUCUCUACCCUACUGUGGUCAAGCUGGUACCAAAGGCUCCUCACUGAAAAGAAUGCCAAAUGCCUCUGGAAGUAAUAAAGAGACUGAACUAAUCUAAAAUUCUGUUUGAAACACUCAAGUCAUUUGGAACCAAUAUAUGUUGUCAUUAUCCCAUUCCAGUCUAUCCUCAUUCCUGUCCAUCCUCAAUUACCGUUCAGAGGGUACAUGUGCAGAUUUGUUAUACAUGUGUGGCCAAGGGAUUAAGUUUAGGUCAAAGAGGAUGUGAUCGCAAAAGACAUGUGCAAGUACAGUGUCACUGCCUUGAAGAUGAAGUUAUUCUGAACUUCCUUUCUCCCGCCUCC